AUACUCCCUCUUAGUUUAAACUCCUACUUGUUAACGCUUUCACUUCGUGAUGCGUUUAUACCGUUAUCGCCUCUAUUUCGCUUAUACUUGUAGUCGCUUAUACCUGUUAGACGCUCUUACUUCACCUGUCGUCACUUCUACUUGGUUAUUCCUCACUGUUUUGUUAUACAUCAAGAGUCGAUUAUUCACAUUGUACGCUUAUACUUCACGAUUUGGUUAUUCCACACGACUCAGUUAUAUAUCAUGAUUUGGUUAUACUUCACGAUAUGUUAUACACACUCAAGCAUAGUUAGAUGUAUGUCUGUGCCUGUUUAGAUACAUAUAAAUAAUGAUUGAAGGACUUAGGAAGGCUUGUCCGCCUUAUUUCCUUUUCUUCGUUGAGAUGUGGUCUGGUGGGAUCGGAUGUCCAUCCGAAGGUCGUUUGAUUCAUUAGUUCUAUAUUAUGUACACAAGCAUAGACAUAUAGGUUUACAUUAGUCAGUUCAGUUAAGAGUCUCUACCACUAGUUCAGCACUUACAUUGGAAACCCUCUACCCACUAUUUGGGAUGCAUCUUCGGGACACGGCCUUCUCCGUCGUCUAGUUGGUAACCAGAGUCUCCUGUAGGGAGAGCGGACAUUGUGUGUAUAGAUCUAUACGGGAUUGACACCCCCGCACCCUGACUGCUAGCUACAGUCCACGGCCCACCUAGCCAAGGGGUGACAAAUGUCAUAUUUUAUAGACGCUUGUAGGGCGUCAGGUACUCUAGUGUCAGUUAGUAUGGUUACGAGUAUCGCAGGUUACCUUAUAAUUCAUGGCCUUAAGGUAAUGGUAAUUCACCAUCAAUUUACACUGUAUGCUGGAAACCCACUCUCGGAAUCACACUGUUUUAAACCUUGCAAGACGUAUCAUUCAUUUGAUACUGUCUGGGGUCUGUAAUCAACAUAUUCACUGUAUUCACUAUUUUCACUGCAUCCACUGUAUUCACUGUUUUAGACCUUGCUAGACGUAUCAUUCAGUUGAUACUGUAUGGGGUCUGUGUUCACUGUUUUACACCUUACUAGAUGUACCUUUCAUUUGGUACCGUCUGGGGUCUGUGUCUCUUUCUGUUAGACUGAGCCAGGCGUGUCGUUCAUUCAAUACUCUCCUAGAGUCUAUGAUUCCUUUCCCUUAGUCAGUAGUCCUCACUGCUGAGGCAUAUGUUAUUUCCCUGUAUUCUCCUGUUUUCUUAAUAAUCAAAUUCUGUAUUUUAAUAACGAUAGCGAUUAAGGGAAAAACUACUUUUACCACAUAACUCCGUCCAGUCUUGGUAGAAGACUGCUUUUAUUAAAGAAAAUAUAGGAUUUUCUUGAAAUGACACUAAUGUAAUCGAUACACUGAAACCACCACUUUUAUUAAAGUUAUUUGAAUAAAAUGCCACUAAAUGCUUAUGAACUCACCAGCAUUUGUAAAAAUGCUGAUACUCGCUUUUCAAAUAACUUGUAUUCUCAGGUUAGCAUUAGACAGGUACAUCCCCGGAGCUUCUGAUGAAGAUAGCUUAGUACCAUGCUGUACUUACUUAUAUUUACUUGUAUUACUUUGAUGUAUUGUAAUGUAAACCAUGUAAAACUAUUACUAUUAAUGCAAUGGUUGUUGUACUUUGAUUACUAUAAUGCAUGUGUUGUGAUACUUGACAUGACGUCAUCCACCCCAGAACGUUUCCGCCGUUCCGGUUUUGGGGUGUGACAGAUUGGUAUCAGAGCAUUGUUUAUAGUGAGCUAAGUAUAUCAAUUCAUAAAAGAUAUACAACCUAUAAAUGCAAAGGGAUAAAACACUCUGACCAAGAAUUAUACUUUAAAAUAUAACCAUAUUUUACCAAAGUAUAAGAACAUCCAGAAUCUAAACACUCGAACACAAGUAUCACAAGAAGAACAAUAAUAAAAGUCUUCGGAUGUUGAGCAUUACCGUCAAACCUGGGCAGUUAUGUAAUCGUAAGCUGGAAUAAAUGUAACCUGAUCAACUACAUUUAUUCGAGAUGCGAUGAACGUGUGCUUGGGAGUGAUAGUGGUGUUGCAAUAGGUCUGAAACUUACCAAUUAGGAUUGAUAGAGCCAAACAUAAAGUUUAAAAUACUAUAGGAGUAUUUUGGAAUACUAAAAGACUAACAAUAAUCCCAGAAUCAUAAUCAGAAGAUAAGAAUCAAACAAGAAUUAAAAUACCAUAGGGGUAUUUUAGGAUCCAUAACUAACCUUGUGUGAAGAACUAAAAAGAUCCUUAUUGAUAUACCUACAACUACAGAGGGUGUACUCCCAAGGUUAUAUAUAAUAAGGAUCCCAUAGGCUAAGAAUGUGUGGUUUCGCUCUACUUCCUUUUCCUCGUUGGGAUGUGGAUAUAGAGUAGUAUCACAUAUUCGAAGGCCUAUCAGAUCUAAGCUAUAUAUGAUUUGUAUAUCCUGUGUAAUCGUAGCAAGACUCGAUAUGAAUCAUCCAGUGAAAUGUUAAUAAUCUCUUAGGAUUCUUUAUACAUUUCCAUUCUCGCACGAACCCUGUAGAAAACCCUAUCCACUUCAGUGCUUAACAGAAGAGUUGAGUCCGAUCCCGAAGAACAUUGAGAAGAUUUCCAGCUUGGAAACGAAUGAACUAGGUCGAGACUAUUGAAUUCACCAAGUGCCUAUAUCUUUUAGGGACAUUGGUGAGAAAUUCGCCUAAACAUCGGAGAUUCCCAGUCAUCCAUCAUGAAGUGAUGACACCUAGAGUCGGAAUAAGAAGGAAGGAGGAGUAGAAAUUCAAUAUGUCCAUACGAGGAGAGAACCCUAGGUAACUACCCAAAGGAAACCAACGCCGAUUCCAGCCAAAGAUACGAGGCAGACAGAGGGAGCCAGUACAUGGAACCCGAGAAUUGUAUUUUCCUCGUGUCCGUCACACUGAUAAACCCGUAAAAUAAUACAAUUUAGUGAGUUAGUGGUUACACUACUCACGCUAUGUGUUAGGUAAAUCGUCGUUUCCCGUUGCCAGUUACACGAUUAGAGCGGAACCCCACACCUCUAUUGAGAAUAUUUAGCCAUAAGCCUUCAUAAGCCUCUCUUUCCGCGGUUUCGUUCCGAACUGUUCUGAAAUCAUUCCAGGCCAGAGAGUGAAACCUUCCCAGUAUAAAGGUAACGUAGUAGGAACGACUCGCAUCUUAUGGGUUUUCCGAUACUCAUACUCCUACCUUGCAUACUAGGACUACAUCAUAGGGAUGUAGGUCGACACUCAGACAACCAGUACCCGAGGCACGGGAAAAAUUUAUGCCUAAUACAGUCGGGACAGAUAUGUCCAGGGUUAGCCAUUGUCUCUCAUUAUCUUGUAUUCCUUUCCAUGUAGGAGAAACCAUGCCACCAAAGAAGCGUAACCAGUCCACAAGCAAGAAACCUACUCUCUUAUUCGAUGAAGCUACGUUCCAAGCUGCAGUCUCGGCAGCCAUAGCAGCUGUCAUGGCUCACCUGAAUGCUAACAACGCCAAUGUUAGCAAGGGCCCUAUCGGGAUUCCCGAUCCUAGCAAUGGACAACAACAACCAACACCUUCAUACCCAGCCACCCAAGAACAUCAANNNNNNNNNNNNNNNNNNNNNNNNNNNNNNNNNNNNNNNUCCGAAAGGCAACGAGCUGAGAUGGUCAAAUUCCCUACCAACCCUUCCAUCCCUACACCUAGGAGACCAUACUUAGGAAACCUUCCCCAUUGCAGCAAGUGCAGCUACCAUCAUCAUGGUGUCUGCCGGGAGCUCUAUUGUGCUAGGUGCCAUAUGUUGGGGCAUACUGCUCGCGUCUGCAGAACCCCGGUUGAGUUCAUUACAUCAACCACCAAUGUGGUGACCCGUACAGUUUGCCACCUAUGUGGUGAAGUGAGACACUUCAAGAAGGACUGCCCAAUCGAAGGGAAAGACAAAGACACAGGAGGAGUCUAACUCUAAUGCUUAGGGAGAAGCAUCAAGGAACCUAGUAGAUUUUUGGUACGUCUCUCGAUCCCAGAUAACUAACCGAGAACAUAAAAAGGCUAAUUCUAAAUGUAAAUACUUCCCCAAUAAGGCGAAAGUCACAGCACUGUAAUAAAUUUAAAAAUUCAUUAGGUAAAACUGUAAUGGCUAAACAUAUACGUUACGGCCAUGUAUAGUUAAGAUGGAUAGAACUAGAGUGAGUGAAUGCCGCCUCAUUUCCUGUUCCUCGUUUGGUUGUGGAUUUAGGGCGGAGUCGCUCAGUCAACAAUCCUCCCCCACCUUAAUUAUACAUGACUAGUAUAUGUUAGGCGAUUAUAGAAAUGCCUCGUGAGAAUCCAUUCAUGAGAAAGGUACUCCACUCAGAAACCCUUAGAACACUCUAUAGUUCCGCGUCGACUCUAUCGGUCCAAGUAUCCACGAUAGUGAUACACAAGACGAAACUUUAGAUGCCUAGAACUUGCGUGCCUGUUCGGCGCAUGACUCUAUCGACCCUCACUUUAUAUCAUGUGGAGGUAUGCCAACUUCGACGCCUCUACCGAUCAUGGUUUGACUUCGUUCAACCAUGUGUACAUCCCUAGUGCUGUGUAAAAAGAACUAUCUCCGUAGCCUCGUCGGCAAAUAAAGGUUCUUCCGAACCUAAACAUAACACAAAUGAUUAAACUUAAUACGAUCCGUCAGUAGUCCCUCUUGUCUCAAACUUUCCGAAGUACCCGGAGAAGGGUACUGCGCGCUGUUGACCGACCCCUCUUAGUCAGAUGGAAACUGAAGGGAAUGACACUGUAGAAACUCCGGAAGACAAUAACUAUCCGAAGCAUACUCCGUAGAUUCCCCAGAAAGACCCUUCGCACCUCGCACAUAAGGUUCGUGAGCCCGGAGGAUAGAACUCAUGGUACUAACCACUAUAACUAGGUAUAUGCAUAAAGGUGGUAUAUAGUUGAGAUCAAAAAGAUUUAAGAUGUGUGCUUCCUCCCUACUCCCUGUUCCUCGUUGGGUUGUGGGUCUGGGGUGGAGUCGCACAACUGAACAUCCUGCCGACCUCAAUUAUAUACGGCCUGCAUACACCAAGUAUUAGUGGUUAAGCCAAGCAUGAGCUCUACCACGAACCUCAUAGUAAAGCCCUUCAUCCUAUUCCAUAAAAUAGGAGCUGGAGUCAAGAGAACCACUGCGGGUUGAGCUACUAUAAUGACCACAAAUCCGAAAAUUGUGGUCAUAUCGGUUGAGCCCACAUAGUAGCUAACACCCUCAGUUAGUAAAGGGAUUGAAGUUCCGAGUAAGGGAACCUAUACUCACUAGAUUUGACCUAGACCGAGAAAACUCAGAACCUUCGGAAGAGUAGUUGCAGUAGAUGCCCGCACUACUCGGGCGCUUCGUCCACCCUGUACAGACAAGUAGUGCCUAUAACCCUCCACCCUCUCGUAUGGAGGAAAUCGUCGUCGCCCCGUUGACGAUAGACUACAUUCUCCGAAGUAAACACUAGAAUACCGAGAACCACAGGAUAACCUCCGCAGCCAAGAAUCCUUGAUCAAAGUGUGAAAGUAGUUGCGUUAAGCCUCAUGACCCAGAUCCCGAAGAGAUUAUAGGCUUGACACCAGCCUUGGUGUUAGUCGAAGGGUUAUGCAGGAGCAUGCGCUUUCCGCACUAGAAUAAACCAACGCCUUGGAAAUUAGGGCACGUCUCCUGGGAUUCAUUGGAAUAUUAGGUGUUCCACGAAUACUAUCUCACACAGUAAUAGUAGAACCACCUCCCGAGAUAGUCCAACACUCGCCUGGUGAAACCCUAUCUUCCCGACCCAGAGGGUUUCCGUAUCUCAAGAUUCGUUAGUGCAGGUUCAUUUUGCACGAGCUUGAGAUAGACACUCUACAACAAGCAGAUAACCGUAGAUACGCAACCCGUCCGAUGAUCUAGAAAACCUCUAAAGUCCAAUUGACAGGAAACGCGAACCCAAGGACAACCCGAGCAUCCUAAGAACCAACCAGAAGGACUACACUACCAGUAUGAGAGAGAACAUUAGGAACUUCGGAAUGGCGAUCAUGCCAGUGAUGAUCUUGCCAUAGAAGUACACUAUGUUCUAAGUACUGAAAAACUCUACCCUUCCGAGAGCCUAGGACCACCCGAGAUCCUUUAUGGAGAUUUGUUCCAACCCUUUUCAGACCGCUACUACUUUCGGAUGUUCCACAAGUUUCACGCCCAAACGAUCCACUUCUUAGACUUGAUCAGUGUAUACCCGUCGUCACUCUUUGUAUCCCACUCAUCUUGAUAGAGACCAUUGAGAACCAUAACCUCAUAGAUACACCAGUCGGAACCCACUAACUACACAAGACGGAAUCCGCAUCCCGUAGGUGAAGGUUUGUUGGAAUGACAAACACAGACCAAAGAUUCACAGGGGAAUGUGAGGACAAACAGAAUAGGAAGCACCUCCUGCCUCUACUUGGUCAUUCAUACCUAAUUUCUUGCCUAGACCUGAAUUUUGGGACGAAAUUCCCUCUAACGGGGGGAUGAUGUGACAACCCAAAGUUUAUUCCGUUACAUCACCUUGUUACCGUUAACGGAAUAUUCCAUUUUAUAAAAGUUCCGUUAAUAAGAGGUCGUCAAAUAAAUAAAUGUUCUAUUUAUUUAUGUUUUAUGUCGUUAUAGUCGUAAUAAAGUAAAUAAAGACACUUAAAUUACAUUUCCAUAGUAAUUUGGAAAAAGUUAGUUUUAUUAUUACGACCACUAAAUCGGGUGCGACCAAAAGCCCCGCUUAGCGACAGUAUCGGGUAAAAUCCCACUGAGCCCCAACUUCAACCCCUAUAUAAGGGUGAGUGUAGUCCAUUAGAGACUUUUUACACUCUCCCCACUCUCUCUCUCUAUGACUUAAAUUCGAGCCAAAAAUCGUCCGUUCCGAGCCCCAAACGAGUAGGUAAACUAUCCUAACUUGUUGUACAACCUAUCUAGCAUGCAAAUUCGUGUUUAAAUCAUAAAAUAGGGACAAGAUGAUGUGUUUACGGCCCAAGAACACUCUUGGACCGUAAACAACAUUUAAUAGGGGUUUUUAAGCCCUAAAACCCCUCCAAAUUGUCCCUAAGGCUUAGAUAUGACUUGUAGGCUUAUGGAAUCGGACUUAGAACACCUUGAACUAGCAUUUUGGGGAGUAAACAUAAGUUUACUGCUCAAGAACAUGCUUGGGCCAUAAACUCCUCUUCAUGGGGAGUAAACUCAUAUGUGUGUGUUAAAAAUGCCCUUAAAUGCAAUUAAAACAAAUCCAUAAGGAGUUCACGGCCGUAAACCCCUCAUGGAAGGGUACCUGGGUCGUAAACUCCUACAAAGGGGUUAUUUGGUGCCCUAAACUCCCCAUUUGACUUGGAAAAAUGCUUAGGAAUUUACCCUCUACCACUUAAGCCNNNNNNNNNNNNNNNNNNNNNNNNNNNNNNNNNNNNNNNNNNNNNNNNNNUUAGGGCCGUAAACUCCUCAAAGGGGCCAUUUGAUGCUUUAAACCCAUUCACACCUUUGAUAUUUGAGUCUAGCAAAAUUCCACAAUUGAGAUGAGGCUUUUAAACCCCUAGAACACCCUCACCAUGAGUUUACAGCCGUAAACUCAUGGGGAGUUGUCCCUGGGCCAUAAACACCAUAAGGUGAGUUUACUUUUCAAGAGUAAACUCCAUUCCUAAGCCAUUUGAGUCCUUAGUUGUUACCCGGGACACCCCAANNNNNNNNNNNNNNNNNNNNNNNNNNNNNNNNNNNNNNNNNNNNNNNNNNNNNNNNNNNNNNNNNNNNNNNNNNNNNNNNNNNNNNNNNNNNNNNNNNNNUUAUACUUGUAGUCGCUUAUACCUGUUAGACGCUCUUACUUCACCCGUCGUCACUUCUACUUGGUUAUUCCUCACUGUUCCGUUAUACAUCAAGAGUCGGUUAUUCACACUGUACGCUUAUACUUCAUGAUUCGGUUAUUCCACACGACUCGGUUAUAUAUCACGAUUCGGUUAUACUUCACGAUAUGAUUCCACUUGUUAUACACACUCAAGCAUAGUUAGAUGUAUGUAUGUGCCUGUUUAGAUACAUAUAAAUAAUGAUUGAAAGACUUAGGAAGGCUUGUCCGUCCUAUUUCCUUUUCUU
rnacentral:lncRNA from 1 species